GGCCCGGCCUCCACGUCUCCAGCCGUCGCCCCGGCAACCACCGCCGCCAGCCUGGCACCACGUGGAGCAGAGCAGCCAAUCAUGGGGCGUGACCUGUGCGGAGCAUCCUGGGAGGAAAGGCGGAGCCUGGGAGGCUACGCUCCGAAGUUUACAGGCGUCGGAAGUGAAGUUGGAACUCGCGGAGCGGUGACGGCUGCGGAUGUCGCGCUGCAGAGCCAAGUUACCCGUCCUCCUUUCCACAGUUUCCCAUUGGCUCAUUUCCACAAAUAUUGUGCCUGGCCCUGCGGAUAAGCCCAAUCAGGGUGGAAAAUAAACUGGCAAGAGAUUGCAGUGUGGUGGAAAUAGAGGAAAAUAACAGAAUGGGAAGGAUAGAGAUCUCCAAGAAAAUUGGAGAUACCAAAGGAACAUUUCAUGCAAAGAUGGGCACAAUAAAGGACAGAAAUGGUAAGGACCUAACAGAAGCAGAAGAGAUUAAAAGGUGGCAACUAGUGGGAAAGAACCUGCCUGCCAAUGCAGGAGAUGUAAGAGAUGCAGGUUCAAUCCCUGGGUCUGGAAGAUCCUGUGGAAGAGAACAUGGCAAACCACUCCAGUAUUCUUGCCCAGAGAAUCCGAUGUCAGAGGAGCCUGGCAGGCUACAGUCCAUAGGGUCAAAAAGAGUUGGACACAACUGAAGCAACUUCGCACUCACGCAAGAAUACACAGAAGAACUAUACCACGUGGACUCUGAACCAAGAAGACAGGUGGCUCUGAAGUUCCCAUGAAACAGUAGGAUCCUAUGGUC
ensembl:lncRNA